CCAAUAGCGUAUAUUAAAGUUGUUGCAGUUAAAAAGCUCGUAGUUGAAUUUCAGGCCUGGCUGGGCGGUCCGCCUUUUGGGUGAGUACUGCCUGUGGUCGGGCCCUACCUUCCGGCGAAGCGUCAUGGCCUUAACCGGCCGUGGCGGGGAACCAGGACUUUUACUGUGAAAAAAUUAGAGUGUUCAAAGCAGGCAUUCGCUUGAGUACAUUAGCAUGGAAUAAUGGAAUAGGACAGUGGUUCUAUUUGUUGGUUUCUAGGACCGUUGUAAUGAUUAAUAGGGAUAGUUGGGGGCAUUAGUAUUCAAUUGUCAGAGGCGAAAUUCUUGGAUUUAUUGAAGACUAACUACUGCGAAAGCAUUUGCCAAGGAUGUUUUCAUUAAUCAAGAACGAAAGUUAGGGGAUCGAAGACGAUCAGAUACCGUCGUAGUCUUAACCAUAAACUAUGCCGACUAGGAAUCGGGCGAUGGUGACAAAAUGACGCGCUCGGCACCUCAUG
rnacentral:rRNA from 1 species